GACGAACGCUGGCGGCGUGCUUAACACAUGCAAGUCGAACGGACCUUCGGGUUAGUGGCGAACGGGUGAGUAACACGUGGGUGAUCUGCCCUGCACUUUGGGAUAAGCCUGGGAAACUGGGUCUAAUACCGAAUAGGACCACGCGCUUCAUGGUGUGUGGUGGAAAGCUUUUGCGGUGUGGGAUGGGCCCGCGGCCUAUCAGCUUGUUGGUGGGGUAAUGGCCUACCAAGGCGACGACGGGUAGCGGGCCUGAGAGGGGGACCGGCCACACUGGGACUGAGAUACGGCGGAGACUCCUAUGGGGGGCAGCAGUGGGGAAUAUUGCACAAUGGGCGCAAGCCUGAUGCAGCGACGCCGCGUGAGGGAUGACGGCCUUCGGGUUGUAGACCUCUUUCGCCAGGGACGAAGCGCAAGUGACGGUACCUGGAGAAGAAGGACCGGCCAACUACGUGCCAGCCGCCGCGGUAACAC
rnacentral:rRNA from 1 species